AGUAGUUUCGAGUCCUGGCUACGAGGACAACGGCUGGGCCGGCGUGCCUAACACAUGCAAGUCGAACGAAGCACUUCCGGUUUGAGAUUCGUCAAGAAUCGGAAAUGGACUUAGUGGCGGACGGGUGAGUAAUGCGUGAGCAACCUGCCCUUCAGUGGGGGACAACAGUUGGAAACGACUGCUAAUACCGCAUAAUGUAUCCGGGAGGCAUCUUCUGGAUACCAAAGAUUUAUUGCUGAAGGAUGGGCUCACGUCUGAUUAGCUGGUUGGCGGGGUAACGGCCCACCAAGGCGACGAUCAGUAGCCGGACUGAGAGGUUGAACGGCCACAUUGGGACUGAGAUACGGCCCAGACUCCUACGGGAGGCAGCAGUGGGGAAUAUUGGGCAAUGGGCGAAAGCCUGACCCAGCAACGCCGCGUGAAGGAAGAAGGCCUUCGGGUUGUAAACUUCUUUUAUGAAGGGACGAAGGACGUGACGGUACCUCAUGAAUAAGCCACGGCUAACUACGUGCC
rnacentral:rRNA from 1 species